AUUGAACGCUGGCGGCAUGCCUUACACAUGCAAGUCGAACGGUAACGGGCCUUCGGGUGCCGACGAGUGGCGAACGGGUGAGUAAUGUAUCGGAACGUACCUUUCAGUGGGGGAUAACGUAGCGAAAGUUACGCUAAUACCGCAUAUUCUGUGCGCAGGAAAGCAGGGGAUCGCAAGACCUUGCGCUGAUUGAGCGGCCGAUAUCAGAUUAGCGAGUUGGUGAGGUAAAGGCUCACCAAGGCGACGAUCUGUAGCGGGUCUGAGAGGAUGAUCCGCCACACUGGAACGGAGACACGGUCCAGACUCCUACGGGAGGCAGCAGUGGGGAAUUUUGGACAAUGGGGGCAACCCUGAUCCAGCCAUGCCGCGUGAGUGAAGAAGGCCUUCGGGUUGUAAAGCUCUUUCGGCCGGGAAGAAAUCGUAUCAGCUAAUACCUGGUGCGGAUGACGGUACCGGCAUAAGAAGCACCGGCUAACUACGUGCCAGCAGCCGCAGUAAUAC
rnacentral:rRNA from 1 species